rnacentral:rRNA from 1 species
CCUACGGGGGGCUGCAGUGGGGAAUAUUGGACAAUGGGGGGAACCCUGAUCCAGCCAUGCCGCGUGUGUGAAGAAGGCCCUCGGGUUGUAAAGCACUUUCAGUGAGGAAGAACGCCUGGUGGUUAAUACCCAUCAGGAAAGACAUCACUCACAGAAGAAGCACCGGUUAACUCCGUGCCAGCAGCCGCGGUAAUACGGAGGGUGCGAGCGUUAAUCGGAAUUACUGGGCGUAAAGCGCGCGUAGGUGGCUUGAUAAGCCGGUUGUGAAAGCCCCGGGCUCAACCUGGGAACGGCAUCCGGAACUGUCAAGCUAGAGUGCAGGAGAGGAAGGUAGAAUUCCCGGUGUAGCGGUGAAAUGCGUAGAGAUCGGGAGGAAUACCAGUGGCGAAGGCGGCCUUCUGGACUGACACUGACACUGAGGUGCGAAAGCGUGGGUAGCAAACAGGAUUAGAUACCCGAGUAGUC